rnacentral:lncRNA from 1 species
AGUUGGCACUUCUGGAAUUGAAGAAGUCAGAAGCUGAUGAAGUUUCAAAAGGCACGUUAUCCUUCAGCUUGUUUCUAGAAAUGAGGAUGAAGUGAGGAAACCAUCUCCAGCACUAGUUCCUAUCUAGGAUGGAUGGAGAGUGGGAGCCAAGAAAACCUUUCCUAUCUGUACCCACAGAGUUUGAAAUUAUCUGUUACUGAUUAUACCUCAUCUCACCCUGACUGGCACAAAGCCCAAUGACCUCUGAAAAGGAAACUAUCAGCCCAAGGAAGGACUGCCAGAGGAUUUUAUGUCUGAUGCUGAAGCCCGGGUUCCUGUGUGAGAGUAGAGCUUGGAUCAACGAUUCUUGAUCCUGACACAGCAACUUCAGAUUUUGUCAAUGGUUCAACCAUCUGGAACUCACAGAAACCAAGAGGCAGUGUGUUGUUGUACCUGACAAGAAAGUGGGACCUGUCUUGUCAGAUGAUUCGAGAAUUCUUUGCCUAAGAGGGUUUUGCCUAUCUAAUAUCUUGAGUUUUGGAUUAGGAGCUUUGCUGGAUUUCCCCAUCCCUGAAGGAAGAGAGGUUGGUAUGGUGGCUCUGUGAAGCAAGUUGAAGAUCUUGCCAAUCAUGAACUAAGAGAUACAGAGAAUUUUCCCAGUGGAGCAAAAUUCCCAACAAAGAGGACUAUGGAGACGAGCAGGUUGUGCUUAGAAGCCGGCUGAGUACCUCAUGUCUGGAAGCUGCAAGCCGGAUCUGACUACUUGCCCGCAUAUUCUCUUUGUGGGUUCGGCUAUAACACUGGGAUGUUGUUGGAGAGGAUGCCUUGUGCUGAGUCUUCACUUUUGCUCCACAAAGCUGCCGUCUGUCCUCUGCUGCCACAACAGCUUCCUCUCUAGACUAGUCUGGCCCUUCUUACAUCCCAGAGUUGGAACCUGCCUUCUUCCUUGUAGCAGGUGAAAGAACUUUGAACCAGAAAUGCAUGAAAAGAUUAACCACAGAAUGUAAACCGUAAGAGCUAAUUGGACAAGAGGCAUUGUAUGUAGUCAACAAAAAUUAACUUGGUUUAGACAGCAAACGUGUAACCAUCAAGAAUGUAACAAUUAUGAAGUUGACAGCAGACUUUUGUGAAAAUGUAAUUAAUGUGGUACCCAGAACUCCUGACAUGUGUACAAGAAAUUAUUCCAUUGCUUUCCCCAAUGAAAUGAAAUUCAAUUUAAUUGACAGCAUCUGAUGGGGUCAACGUUGUCAAAUAGUCUCCUAGAUGUUAAGACGUUUUGACAGCAGAGUCUCCUGUGGUUGAGUGUUCCCUGGGAAGUUUCAUCUGCAAGUGAUUGUAAAACAUUCAUCUUUACUGCUGCAAAUAUGAGAAUAAAACAAUUUGAUGAGCAACUUCUGAUGCCCAAGAGUGACUUCUUCUUCCCUUUACUGGGAUCAAGUGUGGAAUGAAGACAUUUAAUACUUGCCCACCCUGCACAAAAACUAAAGCUUUUCUCUGACAAAGAAUGUAAAAUUUACCAUUUAUCUCUGGCUGAUCUGAAGUCUGAUUUUGAGAUGAAGAGCUU